UCGGAUAUGGUGUAACGGCUAACAUUGCCGCCUCUCAAGAUUUAGGGACUCGAUUUUCAAGAUCGCGGCAGCUCGGGGUUCGAUUCCCCGUAUCCGAA